GCCCGAAUGGUCUAGUGGUAUGAUUCCUGCUUUGGGUGUUCCUGCAUGCAGGAGGUCUCCGGUUCAAACCCGGAUUCGGGCC